CUUAUUUUUAAUUUGUGUUUGUCCUUGCAAUUAUACUUUAGCUUUAAUUUCCUUGUUCUACCUACUGUAAUCAUGUGAAAUGAAGAAGGAGAGGUUUGGAGGCCACUUAUGGGAAAGCUCAAAACAGGAGGUUGUAGAAAGAAAUACGGGAGAAAGGAAGCACAGACCUUGCUCUGAGGUUUAUAGAUGAAAAGCCAAAGAUGAGCACACCAUUUCUGCUGACAGGAUUCCCAGGAGUUAAAGUGAAUCUUUGGAACACAGUAGAUACUGGCAAUUAGAGUCUGAUUCUUCUGCUUCUCCCUGUGUAAGACAGGGAAGGCUAGAAUUUCUACAAUGUAUCUCAAAUAGAUCAGUGCUAUCUGUUCUCUUACUCCAUGGUGUGAAUAUCUCAAUGUAAUACUUGCCAUUAAAUAAAAGUCUGUUUUCAUGUG
rnacentral:lncRNA from 1 species